rnacentral:misc_RNA from 1 species
CGUGGUUGGAGCAGUGCGGAGCUCACGCUGGACGGCCUGCGCCAGUUCGCGCGUUACGCCGUAUCCGCGCGCGCCUUUAAUCGAGCCGGGCCCGGACCGCCUUCCUCCACUGCCUAUGCAACUACUGCGGAUGGAGUGCCGGAGGAGCCACCGAACUCGGUGACUUGCGAGGCUCUGUCUGCGAGGUCACUGCGAGUGCGUUGGCUGCCGCCCUCGCAGGCGCACGCUCAGACUAUUCGCGGCUACGACCUACACUAUGCACC